GAUGAACGCUGGCGGCGUGCCUAAUACAUGCCAGUCGAGCGAACAGACGAGGAGCUUGCUCCUUCGACGUUAGCGGCGGACGGGUGAGUAACACGUAGGUAACCUACCUAUAAGACUGGGAUAACUUCGGGAAACCGGAGCUAAUACCGGAUAAUAUUUCGAACCGCAUGGUUCGAUAGUGAAAGAUGGCUUUGCUAGCACUUAUAGAUGGACCUGCGCCGUAUUAGCUAGUUGGUAAGGUAACGGCUUACCAAGGCAACGAUACGUAGCCGACCUGAGAGGGUGAUCGGCCACACUGGAACUGAGACACGGUCCAGACUCCUACGGGAGGCAGCAGUAGGGAAUCUUCCGCAAUGGGCGAAAGCCUGACGGAGCAACGCCGCGUGAGUGAUGAAGGUCUUCGGAUCGUAAAACUCUGUUAUUAGGGAAGAACAAACGUGGAAGUAACUGUGCACGUCUUGACGGUACCUAAUCAGAAAGCCACGGCUAACUACGUG
rnacentral:rRNA from 1 species